AAUCCAUGUUGUGGGCAUUGGUGAAGUAAACCUUUAUAUCGUUCCCAAGCCUCUAAAUAGCAUUUCGAUUCUAGUUGUUGGAAAGUAGUAAUCUCGUCCCUUAGCUU
rnacentral:snoRNA from 1 species